CGAGCGAAGCGGGAUGAGCUCAAAUUUGAAAUCUGGCGUCUUUCAGGCGUCCGAGUUGUAAUCUAUAGAAGCGUUUUCUGUGCUGGACCGUGUCCAAGUCCCUUGGAACAGGGUAUCAAAGAGGGUGACAAUCCCGUACUUGACACGACCACCAGUGCUCUGUGAUACGUUUUCUACGAGUCGAGUUGUUUGGGAAUGCAGCUCAAAAUGGGUGGUAAAUUCCAUCUAAAGCUAAAUAUUGGCGAGAGACCGAUAGCGAACAAGUACCGUGAGGGAAAGAUGAAAAGCACUUUGGAAAGAGAGUUAAACAGUACGUGAAAUUGUUGAAAGGGAAACGAUUGAAGUCAGUCGUGUCUAUUGGUUUCAGCCGGUUCUGCCGGUGUAUUACCUUUAGACGGGUCAACAUCAGUUUUGGACGGCGGAUAAUAGCACUUUGAAGAAUGUAUCACCUCCGGGUGUGUUAUAGCUUUCUGUUGCAUACGCUGUCCGAGACUGAGGACUGCAGCUUGGCCCUUGGCCGGGGUUUCGACCCACGUUACGAGCUUAGG
rnacentral:rRNA from 1 species